ACAGGUGCUGCAUGGCUGUCGUCAGCUCGUGUUGUGAAAUGUUGGGUUAAGUCCCGCAACGAGCGCAACCCUUAUCCUUUGUUGCCAGCGGUCCGGCCGGGAACUCAAAGGAGACUGCCAGUGAUAAACUGGAGGAAGGUGGGGAUGACGUCAAGUCAUCAUGGCCCUUACGAGUAGGGCUACACACGUGCUACAAUGGCGCAUACAAAGAGAAGCGACCUCGCGAGAGCAAGCGGACCUCAUAAAGUGCGUCGUAGUCCGGAUUGGAGUCUGCAACUCGACUCCAUGAAGUCGGAAUCGCUAGUAAUCGUAGAUCAGAAUGCUACGGUGAAUACGUUCCCGGGCCUUGUACAC
rnacentral:rRNA from 1 species